CAGUCGAGCGAGUCUGCCUUGAAGAUCGGAGUGCUUGCACUCUGUGAAACAAGAUACAGGCUAGCGGCGGACGGGUGAGUAACACGUGGGUAACCUGCCCAAGAGAUCGGGAUAACACCUGGAAACAGAUGCUAAUACCGGAUAACAACAGAUGAUGCCUAUCAACUGUUUAAGAGAUGGUUCUGCUAUCACUCUUGGAUGGACCUGCGGUGCAUUAGCUAGUUGGUAGGGUAACGGCCUACCAAGGCGAUGAUGCAUAGCCGAGUUGAGAGACUGAUCGGCCACAUUGGGACUGAGACACGGCCCAAACUCCUACGGGAGGCAGCAGUAGGGAAUCUUCCACAAUGGACGCAAGUCUGAUGGAGCAACGCCGCGUGAGUGAAGAAGGGUUUCGGCUCGUAAAGCUCUGUUGUUGGUGAAGAAGGACGGGGGUAGUAACUGACCUUUGUUUGACGGUAAUCAAUUAGAAAGUCACGGCUAACUACGUGCCAGCAGCCGCGGUAAUACGUAGGUGGCAAGCGUUGUCCGGAUUUAUUGGGCGUAAAGCGAGUGCAGGCGGUUCGAUAAGUCUGAUGUGAAAGCCUUCGGCUCAACCGGAGAAUUGCAUCAGAAACUGUCGAGCUUGAGUACAGAAGAGGAGAGUGGAACUCCAUGUGUAGCGGUGAAAUGCGUAGAUAUAUGGAAGAACACCGGUGGCGAAGGCGGCUCUCUGGUCUGUUACUGACGCUGAGGCUCGAAAGCAUGGNNNG
rnacentral:rRNA from 1 species